AACGAACGCUGGCGGCGUGUUUAAGACAUGCAAGUCGCACGGGAUCAUUUUGGUAGCAAUACUCGGAUGGUCCAGUGGCGCACGGGUGAGUAACACGUGAAUGACAUGCCCUUCAGUGGGGGAUAGCCCAGGGAAACUUGGAUUAAUACCCCAUGGUCUCGCGAGAGUAAAGGUGGCGCAAGCUGCCGCUGGAGGAUUGGUUCGCGCUCUAUCAGCUUGUUGGCGGGGUAACGGCCCACCAAGGCUACGACGGAUACCUGGUCUGAGAGGACGAUCCGGCACAGUGGAACUGAGACACGGUCCAGACACCUACGGGUGGCAGCAGUCGAGAAUAAUUCACAAUGGGGGCAACCCUGAUGGUGCAACGCCGCGUGGAGGAUGAAGGUCUUCGGAUUGUAAACUCCUGUCAUCCGGGAGCAAGACCUGGCGGUCAAUAGCCGACAGGGUUGAUAGUACCGGAAGAGGAAGGGACGGCUAACUUCGUGCCAGCCGCCGCGGUAAGAC
rnacentral:rRNA from 1 species